GUAGUACUCCCUCCGUCCGGAAAUACUUGUCAUCAAAAUGGAUAAAAGUGGCUGCAUCUAGACGUAUUUUAGUUCUAGAUACAUCUCUUUUUAUCCAUUUUGAUGACAAGUAUUUUCGGACGGAGGGAGUAGCAG
rfam:Triticum urartu cultivar G1812 contig822366, whole genome shotgun sequence.